CGGGUUCCGGUUUAGAUUGCAUUGAGCACGAGAUGAACAUGCAGUGAGCACGGCUGUGUAAAUAUGGUUUAUAAAACGUUUUAUUUUAAGUUCUAAAUGGUAUAGCGCCUGGUUGAUAAGGGCACAAGCUCCUGGCCAGCAUACAGCAGGUAGUCCUUGCUGUUGAGAUUUGCCAGCUGGCUGUUGAGAUUCCAGCAGUGGGCCUGUGCAUCCGCCCAGCUCUUCGUCUCCUGCACCAGCUCCACUUCACCCGGACGCCCAUCUUGGAAGUCAGGUGCCAGACGACACGGUGCAUGUCCGAAUACCACAGGUUGACUAGCGCCACGGAGUAGUCAGAGUUUUUCACUUGGACCCAGGUCACACCUGAAGUAUAAUUCACAGAAAACAGUCUUACCUGAUACCUUGAAGCUUGAUAAACCACAGGCUGUCUUUCCAUCUGAAUCAAAGACCAAUAUGUGUUAUUGGUGGAGAAUGAAGAGACAACAGCUGUCACUCCAACCCUCGCUGAAACAGACAUUCCCUUUGCAUUCUGACAUGAUCAUAAUCUACUUUGGUUGCCACAACUCAGGGAAAUAAAUGCCAUCAUAUUUGAGGAAGCACAUCGAGACAGGUCCUCCCUAUCGUCUGAGGCUGAGAGAAAUCUCUCCUCAGGGACCAGACCGGUCAAGGAGACCAGCUUUCGGGAUGCAGCCACCCAAACAGUGGAGUUUACCACAUCAGAUUGUGCCACACAGGUGGACGAGACCAUGUUCACCUGCAGUGUGUCCCAGGAUGACGUUUCGCAGGCCUCUGAGCAGUGCCUGGAUUCUCUAUCCUGGCAUUCAGAGUAUGCUGAAGAGGCCCACAAGGUCUGCUUGGCUCUGGAAAUGCACGCACUGGAAAACCCCCCCUUCAGCACAGGGUUCCAGCGUUCCAGAAAGAGCUCAUUCCGAUCGCGCAUUCCGGUCCUGGCUCGCACCACCAGCAGCAGAGGGAGAUGUAAGGAUGUCCAAAAGAUGGGAACCAUCACCCAUGACGUACGCUGUCUGAAAAAAGCUUGACUGACCAAUAUGUGUUAUUGGUGGAGAAUGAAGAGACAACAGCUGUCACUCCAACCCUCGCUGAAACAGACAUUCCCUUUGCAUUCUGACAUGAUCAUAAUCUACUUUGGUUGCCACAACUCAGGGAAAUAAAUGCCAUCAUAUUUGAGGAAGCACAUCGAGACAGGUCCUCCCUGUCGUCUGGGGCAGAGAGAAAUCUCUCCUCAGGGACCAGACUGGUCAAGGAGACCAGCUUUCGGGAUGCAGCCACCCAAACAGUGGAGUUUACCACAUCAGAUUGUGCCACACAGGUGGACGAGACCAUGUUCACCUGCAGUGUGUCCCAGGAUGACGUUUCGCAGGCCUCUGAGCAGUGCCUGGAUUCUCUAUCCUGGCAUUCAGAGUAUGCUGAAGAGGCCCACAAGGUCUGCUUGGCUCUGGAAAUGCACGGACUGGAAAACCCCCCCUUCAGCACAGGGUUCCAGCAUUCCAAAAAGAGCUCCUUCCGAUCGCGCAUUCCUGUCCUGGCUCGCACCACCAGCAGCAGAGGGAGAUGUAAGGAUGUCCAAAAGAUGGGAACCAUCACCCAUGACGUACGCUGUCUGAAAAAAGCUUGACUGCUGGAACUGGAAAAAACACAGUCAAGCAAGUGGCAAGAUAGCAGUGGAUUGUGCAGACCUUAGCCAGAACACCACCCCAGCCCAUGACCUUCUAAUUCCAUCUUCCCUCAGAACCACAUUCCAUCUUCCCUCUAAACCAGCUGCUGAUACUAUCUUCCUUCUAAGCUACCUUCUGAUACUAUCUUCCUUCUAAGCUACCUUCUGAUACUAUCUUCCUUCUAAGCUACCUUCUGACACUAUCUUCCUUCUAAACCACCUUCUGAUACUGUCUUCCUUCUAAGCUACCUUCUGAUUCCAUCUUCCCUCUAAACCAGCAGCUGAUACCAUCUUCCUUACAAGUCAUGUCCAUCCCCAUAUCCCCCUUUUCCAUCUCUUCAAUAAAUAAUUGAAAUGGUGUGAUCUGAA